rnacentral:rRNA from 1 species
AUUGAACGCUGGCGGCAUGCCUUACACAUGCAAGUCGAACGGCAGCGGACCUUCGGGUGCCGGCGAGUGGCGAACGGGUGAGUAAUAUAUCGGAACGUACCUUUCAGUGGGGGAUAACGUAGCGAAAGUUACGCUAAUACCGCAUAUUCUGUGAGCAGGAAAGCAGGGGAUCGCAAGACCUUGCGCUGAUUGAGCGGCCGAUAUCAGAUUAGCUAGUUGGUGAGGUAAAGGCUCACCAAGGCGACGAUCUGUAGCGGGUCUGAGAGGAUGAUCCGCCACACUGGAACUGAGACACGGUCCAGACUCCUACGGGAGGCAGCAGUGGGGAAUAUUGGACAAUGGGGGCAACCCUGAUCCAGCCAUGCCGCGUGUGUGAAGAAGGCCC